GGCCUACCAUGGUGGUAACGGGUAACGGGGUGUUAGGGCACGACACCGGAGAGGGAGCCUGAGAAACGGCUACCACAUCCAAGGAUGGCAGCAGGCGCGCAAAUUACCCAAUCCCGACACGGGGAGGUAGUGACAAUAAAUAACAAUACGGGGCUCUUUAGGGUCUCGUAAUUGGAAUGAGUACAAUUUAAAUCUCUUAACGAGGAACAAUUGGAGGGCAAGUCUGGUGCCAGCAGCCGCGGUAAUUCCAGCUCCAAUAGCGUAUAUUAAAGUUGUUGCAGUUAAAAAGCUCGUAGUUGAAUUUCGGGGUCAGCAGGUUGGUCGUGCCACUGGUAUGCACUGGUUUCGCUGAUUCCUCCUUUCUGAAGAACUGUAAUGCCAUUAAUUUGGUGUUGCAGGGAAACAGGACUGUUACUUUGAAAAAAUUAGAGUGUUUAAAGCAGGCUAACGCUUGAAUACAUUAGCAUGGAAUAAUGAAAUAGGACGUUUGAUCCUAUUUUGUUGGUUUCUAGGAUUGACGUAAUGAUUAAUAGGGAUAGUUGGGGGCAUUAGUAUUCAAUUGUCAGAGGUGAAAUUCUUGGAUUUAUUGAAGACUAACUACUGCGAAAGCAUUUGCCAAGGAUGUUUUCAUUAAUCAAGAACGAAAGUUAGGGGAUCGAAGACGAUCAGAUACCGUCGUAGUCUUAACCAUAAACUAUGCCGACUAGGGAUCGGAUGAUGUUAAUUUUUUAAUGACUCAUUCGGCGCCUUACG
rnacentral:rRNA from 1 species